UAAGCUAUUGGGCUCAUAACUCAAAAAUGAUUUGAUCUUUUUAGAAAUAAAAUAAUUUAAUUUAAUAUAAAAAAUUACAGAAUUAAACUUUUAAUAUGGAAGUUAAGGUUAAAUCCAGUAAAAAAUAUUAUAAAAUAAUGAAAAUUAAUUUUAAAUUCUAAUUAAUUUUUUGAUUAAUAAAGUGCCAGCAAUCGCGGUCAUACUUUAAUAAAAAUUUUAAAUAUAAUUAAUAUUUUAAUUUACAUAAAUAAAAAGAAUUUUUAAAAGUAAAAUUCAAAAUUCUUAUAAAACUUUUUUUAUCAAAAAUAAAAUUAAAUUUAAUAUUUAAACUAGGAUUAGAUACCCUACUAUUCUAAAAUUAAACAUAAAAUAUGGAGUAUUACAUUACAAAACAAAUAAUUUAAACUCUAAAAAUUAUGGCGGCUAAAAUAAAAAAACAGGGGAACUUACCACAUCAUAGACAAUCAUCUAGAAAUCUAAUAUUUUUUAAAAGUUUGUAUGCCGUCGUCACAAAAUAAAAUUUAUUAUUUUAUUAAAAAAUUGAAAUUUAUAUUGAUUUAAUUUAAAUCAAUUUCAAUUAUAUGUCAGAUCAUGGUGCAACCAAUAAAAAUAAGGUAGGCGAGUUACAAUAGUAAAAAACUUACCAUAAUAAUUAAUGAAUAAUUUUAUAAAGGUUGGACUUGAAUGUAAUUAUUAAAUAAGUAUUAAAUAUUGAAUAAUAUUUGUUUUAGUGCACAAAUCGCCCGUCACUCUCGUUGAAAAUAUUUUUAAAAUAUUAAAAAUAUUAAUAAAAGGAGAUAAGUCGUAACAAAGUAAGAAUAGUGGAAACUGUUCUUUUCUUAAU
rnacentral:ncRNA from 1 species